GAUGGUGGUUCAAUCCAGUAGGCUGUCUGCUUAGGAAUAAAACGAGCGGAUAAGGCCGAGAGGGUACGUCGAAGAGACUUCGGUCUUGAAGUACCUGAUGCCAUGCUUCCAAGAAAAGCCGCGGGCUGCGAUGAAGUGUUGGUGACCGUACCGCAAACCGACUCAGGUGGGCAGGUGGAGAACACCGAGGCGCUAGGGAGAACACUGGUUAAGGAACUAGGCAAAUUAAUACCGUAACUUCGGGAUAAGGUAUGCCAGUUAGGUGAAGGGCCUGCGCCUGGAGCCAAGACUGGUCACAGCAAAGCGGCGGUAGCGACUGUUUACCAAAAACACAGGUCUCUGCAAAGUCGUAAGACGAUGUAUAGGGGGCUGACGCCUGCCCGGUGCCGGAAGGUUAAGAGGAGCUGUCAGCGCAAGCAAAGCAGCGAAUUGAAGCCCCGGUAAACGGCGGCCGUAACUAUAACGGUCCUAAGGUAGCGAAAUUCCUUGUCGGGUAAGUCCCGACCUGCACGAAAGGCGUAACGACUUCCGCGCUGUCUCAACCAGUGGCCCUGCGAAAUUGACGUUGGGGUGAAGAUGCCCCAUACCCGCAGAAAGACGGAAAGACCCUGUGAACCUUUACUCUAGCUUGGCAGUGACAUUCGACAUUAUCUGUGUAGCAUAGGUGGGAGGCGUUGAGUUCGGCGCGCUAGCGUCGAAGGAGCCACCGUUGAAAUACCACCCUGAUGAUGUUGGCUGUCUAACUUCGAAAGAAGGACACUGCCUGGUGGGGAGUUUGACUGGGGCGGUCGCCUCCCAAACAGUAACGGAGGCGCGCGAUGGUUCUCUCAGCCUGAUCGGAAACCAGGCGUAGAGUGCAAAGGCAUAAGAGAGCUUGACUGCGAGACGGACACGUCGAGCAGGUUCGAAAGAAGGCCUUAGUGAUCCGGCGGUCCCAUAUGGAAGGGCCGUCGCUCAACGGAUAAAAGGUACUCCGGGGAUAACAGGCUUAUCACGCCCAAGAGUUCACAUCGACGGCGUGGUUUGGCACCUCGAUGUCGGCUCGUCGCAUCCUGGGGCUGGAGCAGGUCCCAAGGGUUUGGCUGUUCGCCAAUUAAAGCGGCACGCGAGCUGGGUUCAAAACGUCGUGAGACAGUUUGGUCCCUAUCUUCUGUGGGCGUUGGAGAGUUGAGAGGAUCUGUCCUUAGUACGAGAGGACCGGGAUGGACACACCUCUGGUGUUCCGGUUGUCGCGCCAGCGGCACUGCCGGGUAGCUAAGUGUGGACGGGAUAACCGCUGAAAGCAUCUAAGUGGGAAACCCCCCUCAAGAUUAGCUCUCCCCAAAGGACCCAGGUAGACUACCUGGUCGAUAGGCAGGACGUGUAAUCGCAGCAAUGCGUUCAGCGAACCUGUACUAAUUGUCCGUUCGGCUUGUUCC
rnacentral:rRNA from 1 species